rnacentral:rRNA from 1 species
GAUUCGUCUCUAUGCCUAGAUUUAUACCCGAACCCUUACCGAAUUCGAGUGUUCUCGUCUAGACAGCCACACAUACUAGUUUUUUCUGGGAACCAUGGCCCCCCUUUAUCCUUUGAUUAUGUAAUUUGC